rnacentral:rRNA from 2 species
GCUAAUACAUGCAAGUCGAGCGAAUGGAUUAAGAGCUUGCUCUUAUGAAGUUAGCGGCGGACGGGUGAGUAACACGUGGGUAACCUGCCCAUAAGACUGGGAUAACUCCGGGAAACCGGGGCUAAUACCGGAUAACAUUUUGAACCGCAUGGUUCGAAAUUGAAAGGCGGCUUCGGCUGUCACUUAUGGAUGGACCCGCGUCGCAUUAGCUAGUUGGUGAGGUAACGGCUCACCAAGGCAACGAUGCGUAGCCGACCUGAGAGGGUGAUCGGCCACACUGGGACUGAGACACGGCCCAGACUCCUACGGGAGGCAGCAGUAGGGAAUCUUCCGCAAUGGACGAAAGUCUGACGGAGCAACGCCGCGUGAGUGAUGAAGGCUUUCGGGUCGUAAAACUCUGUUGUUAGGGAAGAACAAGUGCUAGUUGAAUAAGCUGGCACCUUGACGGUACCUAACCAGAAAGCCACGGCUAACUACGUGCCAGCAGCCGCGGUAAUACGUAGGUGGCAAGCGUUAUCCGGAAUUAUUGGGCGUAAAGCGCGCGCAGGUGGUUUCUUAAGUCUGAUGUGAAAGCCCACGGCUCAACCGUGGAGGGUCAUUGGAAACUGGGAGACUUGAGUGCAGAAGAGGAAAGUGGAAUUCCAUGUGUAGCGGUGAAAUGCGUAGAGAUAUGGAGGAACACCAGUGGCGAAGGCGACUUUCUGGUCUGUAACUGACACUGAGGCG